AUUUAAUUGCUGCAUGUUGUACUUUUAAACAUCACUUGUUGUGAUUUGUAAACCUCAGUUGUAGUGUUCCAUAUUAAUACUUUAAAAAUACUCUAGACAAAUGGUUGAUUGUGGAGGAACACUGGACUAUCAGGUGCAGUGACCUAGUUUCCUGCAACAUCAUAGCUGGUCUCCAGCUGCCAGUCUAGAAAGUCUUGGUGCUCACAUUGUACCUCUGUCACAUCGGUGCCUGGCUCAGGUGUUCCAGGGCCUCUCAGAGAGCAGGACUAAAUACAGCACCUGAGGGACAGAGAUGUUCAUCCUCAAUGUCAUGAUUUGGGAAG